rnacentral:lncRNA from 1 species
GCAACCCCGCCCCAACCCUUUUCUGGGAUGGACUGGGAUAUCCAGUGGAGAAGAUUCCUUGGGAAGCCUGGCCUGGCGCACACCCCCAUCGUGGCCCAGCCCACACCAAAGCUUACCCUCAGGGUCUCCAAUUCCUUGCGAGCCUGGCUUAGCUGCUUCUCCAGUUCAGCGAUCUUGGCCAUGGAGUCGUUCUCUGUGUCCCGAAGCCGCUCUGUCAGCUGUGGUACCAGCACAUGACCAGACCUCCAGCCUGAGCCAGCUCCCCACUCUGUCUAGUAUCUCUGAGUUUCCCAUCAUUGGCUGGGAUCAGAGCAUCCGACGGGACUGAUGUUCCUGUGUCAGACCCAGAGCCACCUAAGCCUGUUCCAGGACCUCAAUGACAGAUGUUAUAGUAUCGGUCGUGCACCAGGGGCUCCUGUACACAUCUGGAAUCAUUGUCAUCUCUGUGACUGAC